rnacentral:rRNA from 1 species
CUACGUGCCAGCAGCCGCGGUAAUACGGAAGGUCCGGGCGUUAUCCGGAUUUAUUGGGUUUAAAGGGAGCGUAGGCUGGAGAUUAAGUGUGUUGUGAAAUGUAGACGCUCAACGUCUGACUUGCAGCGCAUACUGGUUUCCUUGAGUACGCACAACGUUGGCGGAAUUCGUCGUGUAGCGGUGAAAUGCUUAGAUAUGACGAAGAACUCCGAUUGCGAAGGCAGCUGACGGGAGCGCAACUGACGCUGAAGCUCGAAGGUGCGGGUAUCGAACAGGAUUAGAUACCCUGGUAGUCCGCACAGUAAACGACGGAUGCCCGCUGUUGGUACUUGGUAUCAGCGGCUAAGCGAAAGCAUUAAGCAUCCCACCUGGGGAGUACGCCGGCAACGGUGAAACUCAAAGGAAUUGACGGGGGCCCGCACAAGCGGAGGAACAUGUGGUUUAAUUCGAUGAUACGCGAGGAACCUUACCCGGGCUUGAAUUGCAGAGGAAGGAUUUAGAGAUA